GACGAACGCUGGCGGCGUGCUUAACACAUGCAAGUCGAAAGAAGUGGCGAACGGGUGAGUAACGAGUAAUCAACCUGCACUUACGAGGGGGACAACAGUUGGAAACGACGGCUAAUACCGCAUACUGAGGGUGGGGAUUGCGUUUGAUUAGCUAGUUGGAGGGGGAACGGCCUACAAAGGCGAUGAUCAGUAGCCGUUCUGAGAGGAUGAACGGCCACAUUGGGACUGAGACACGGCCCAGACUCCUACGGGAGGCAGCAGUGGGGAAUCUUCCGCAAUGGACGAAAGUCUGACGGAGCAACGCCGCGUGAGUGAUGACGGCCUUCGGGUUGUAAAGCUCUGUUAAUCGGGACGCGGUACCGGAAUAGAAAGCCACGGCUAACUACGUGCCAGCAGCCGCGGUAAUAC
rnacentral:rRNA from 1 species